rnacentral:rRNA from 1 species
CUGGCCUCAAAUCAGGUAGGGCUACCCGCUGAACUUAAGGCAUAUCAAUAAGCGGAGGAAAAGAAACUAACUAGGAUUCCCUUAGUAACGGCGAGUGAACCGGGAUGAGCUCAAAUUUGAAAUCUGGCGUCUUUCAGGCGUCCGAGUUGUAAUCUAUAGAGGCGUUUUCCGCGCCGGACCGCGUCCAAGUCUCUUGGAAUAGAGUAUCAAAGAGGGUGACAAUCCCGUACUUGACGCGACAACCGGUGCUCUGUGAUACGCUCUCAAUGAGUCGAGUUGUUUGGGAAUGCAGCUCUAAAUGGGUGGUAAAUUCCAUCUAAGGCUAAAUAUUGGCGAGAGACCGAUAGCGAACAAGUACCGUGAGGGAAAGAUGAAAAGCACUUUGGAAAGAGAGUUAAACAGCACGUGAAAUUGUUAAAAGGGAAACGAUUGAAGUCAGUCGUGUGGGAAGUAUUCAGCCGUCUCUGGCGGUGUAUUUGCUUCUCACGGGUCAACAUCAGUUUGAUCCGGUAGAAAAAGGCGGGAAGAAGGUGGCACCCUCGGGUGUGUUAUAGCUUCCUGUCAUAUGUGCCGGACCAGACUGAGGAACGCAGCUUGCAGCAAUGCCGGGGUUCGCCCACGUACAAGCUUAGGA